GAUGAACGCUAGCUACAGGCUUAACACAUGCAAGUCGAGGGGCAGCACAGUGUAGCAAUACAUGGGUGGCGACCGGCGCACGGGUGCGUAACGCGUAUCCAACCUUCCCGUUACUCAGGGAUAGCCUUCCGAAAGGGAGAUUAAUACCUGAUGGUAUUCAAAUUUCGCAUGUUAUUUGAAUUAAAGAUUUAUCGGUAACGGAUGGGGAUGCGUGACAUUAGGUAGAUGGCGGGGUAAUGGCCCACCAUGCCUACGAUGUCUAGGGGUUCUGAGAGGAAGGUCCCCCCACACUGGAACUGAGACACGGUCCAGACUCCUACGGGAGGCAGCAGUGAGGAAUAUUGGUCAAUGGGCGCAAGCCUGAACCAGCCAAGUAGCGUGAAGGAUGAAGGUUCUAUGGAUUGUAAACUUCUUUUAUACGGGAAUAAAACCUCCCACGUGUGGGAGCUUGUAUGUACCGUAUGAAUAAGCAUCGGCUAACUCCGUGCCCA
rnacentral:rRNA from 1 species